GUCCACGCCCUAAACGAUGUCUACUAGUUGUUGGGAGAGUAAAUCUCUUAGUAACGCAGCUAACGCGUGAAGUAGACCGCCUGGGGAGUACGGUCGCAAGAUUAAAACUCAAAGGAAUUUACGGGGACCCGCACAAGCGGUGGAGCGUGUUGUUUAAUUCGAUGAUAAGCGAAGAACCUUACCCAGACUUGACAUCCUUGGAAGCACUGCGAAAAGCAGAGUGUGCCUUCGGGAACCAAGUGACAGGUGUUGCAUGGCCGUCGU
rnacentral:rRNA from 1 species